rnacentral:rRNA from 1 species
AGUGAACGCUGGCGGUAGGCCUAACACAUGCAAGUCGAACGGCAGCACAGUAAGAGCUUGCUCUUACGGGUGGCGAGUGGCGGACGGGUGAGGAAUACAUCGGAAUCUACUUUUUCGUGGGGGAUAACGUAGGGAAACUUACGCUAAUACCGCAUACGACCUACGGGUGAAAGCAGGGGAUCUUCGGACCUUGCGCGAUUGAAUGAGCCGAUGUCGGAGUAGCUAGUUGGCGGGGUAAAUGCCCACCAAGGCGACGCUCCGUAGCUGGUCUGAGAGGAUGAUCAGACACACUGGAACUGAGACACGGUCCAGACUCCUACGGGAGGCAGCAGUGGGGAAUAUUGGACAAUGGGCGCAAGCCUGAUCCAGCCAUACCGCGUGGGUGAAGAAGGCCUUCGGGUUGUAAAGCCCUUUUGUUGGGAAAGAAAAGCAGCAGGUUAAUACCCCGCUGUUCUGACGGUACCCAAAGAAUAAGCACCGGCUAACUUCGUG